rnacentral:lncRNA from 1 species
CCAAAGAUUGGAUGAACCAGUGCCAAGAAAAUGCCAGGUAGAAACACCCCAACAGACAGUCCAUGAGCGUUGGUGGAACUCUGUGCUACACCACCCACAUCCCUCGCAGCUGGUCCUUCUCCAGAACUUUCCUUCACCUGGAGGAAGUUGCCUAGUUCAAGCACAGGUAAUGACAAUGCACUUGAGGAAACUCGAUAGGUUGGCUACCUUGAAAUGGAGAAGGAGGUCAAGAAACACAUUUCCUAACUUUCAAAAGGAACUGUCUGGGAUAAUUAAUCAACACAUCACCAACACCAAGGGAUUGUUUUAUAUCAGAAGACAUAUAAUUAAAAAAAACAAUAGCA